AUAUAAGUAACUAUAGGGUCCGCUCGGGUUUCAAAUAAGUAACUAUAGGGUCCGCUCGGGUUUCAAAUAAUCAACUAUAGGGUCCGCUCGGGUUUCAUAAAAAAAAAUAUAUAUAGUUUCAAAUAAUAAUACUAUAAGUGUAAUAAGUUCUAUAGGUCCGCUCGGGUUCAAUAAGUAACUAAUAUAGGGGUUUAUUCCCUCGAAAUAUAGUUAGGUUUUAACAAGUUCGGGAAAUUCAAAUAAGAAUAUAUAAGAAAUCGGGGUAACCGCUCGGGUUUCAUAAUAAAACUUUAGUAGUUCCAUCGGUUUUAUCUAUAAAAUAACUAUAGGAAUAGUCGUGGCCAGGUUUCGGGUUUCAAAGUUAACUGUAGGGUCCCGUUCCUCUUUAACAAGUAAAUUCUCGGGCAAAUAAGUAACUAUAGGGCUCGGGUUCAUUUAAAAACUAUAAGGGUCCGGGCUCGGGUUUCAUAAGAUAGUCCGCUCGGGUAAGUUUUAUUACUCUUCGGGUUUCUAUCGGCAAACGUAACUUAUCCCUCUCGUCUUAAUAUAGGUAGGGCCGCUCUGAAGUUAACUAUAGGGUCCUCUCUCGGGUCCGCAGGGUUCUAUAAAUAUAGUAAACUCGGGUUUAAAUAACUAUAGGGGGUCGCUCGUAACUAUAGGUCAGUAUAGGGGGGGAGGUGGGCUCGGGUUUCAAAUAAGUAACUAUAGGGUCCGCUCGGGUUUCAAAUCAGUAACUAUAGGGUACGCUUGGGUUUCAUAUAAGUAACUAUAGGGUCCGCUCUGGUUUCAAAUAAGUAACUAUAGUGUCCGCUCGGGUUUCAAAUAACUAUAGGGUCCGCUCGGGUUUCAAAUAAGUAACUAUAGGGUCCUCUCGGGUUUCAAAUAAGUAACUAUAGGGUCCGCGCGGGUUUCAAAUAAGUAACUAUAGGGUCCACUCGGGUUUCAAAUAAAUAACUAUAGGGUCCGCUCGGGUUUCAACAAUGACCAAACCCAGAUAUAUAAAUUCAUGAAAGAACAACACUGAUUGAUAUAAAAAAAAAAACAAGUGACAGACAGAAACUUACGACAACCACUGAAUUACAGGUGCCCGACUUUAAAAAGACUUAAAAAAUUAUGGUGAAAUAUGUUUGCAUGAUGACGACUAAAUUUAAACAUGUUUUUUUUCGUUUUUUUUUGUUUGGUUUUUUUUUGUACAGCACUGAGUCGAUAACUCUGCUGGUGGAUCAGGAUCAGUCCCGCAGGUAUCAUCAGCUCAGUAGUCAGUUCAAGUUUAGGUAUUUGAAAUGAUUUAUAACCGAAAUCUUUCUAAAAUGGUCCGUUUAAAUUUU
rnacentral:lncRNA from 1 species